rnacentral:rRNA from 1 species
GACGAACGCUGGCGGCGUGCUUAACACAUGCAAGUCGAACGGAAAGGCCUGCUUUCCCUUGUGGAUUGCGGGUACUCGAGUGGCGAACGGGUGAGUAACACGUGAGUGAUCUGCCCCCAACUUGGGUAUAAGCCUGGGAAACUGGGUCUAAUUCCCGAUAGGACUGCAGGGUGGUGCCUGUGGUGGAAAACGAUUUUCUAGUGGUUGGGGAUGAGCUCGCGGCCUAUCAGCUUGUUGGUGGGGUAAUGGCCUACCAAGGCGGCGACGGGUAGCCGGCCUGAGAGAGUGGACGGGCGAAUUGGGACUGAGAAACGGCCCAGACUCCUACGGGAGGCAGCAGUGGGGAAUAUUGCACGAGGGGCGGAAGCCUGAUGCAGCGACGCCGCGUGGGGGAUGACGGCCUUCGGGUGGUAAACUCCUUUCGACCGCGAGGAAGCCACCUGGUUGGAAGGGUGGUGACGGUAGUGGUAGAAGAAGCACCGGCUAACUACGUG